UAUCCAUAGACACAGCACAAAGUCUUACCAGUUACCUAGUACAUGUGCCGUUGAACACCUGGACUCGAAUCUGGAGGAGUGUAGCAGAAAAUGAAGGCCGCUCAUGCAUAAUUCAUCAAGCUCGUGACUACAUCAUGCAAGACUGAGUAAGAUGCCCUCUGCAUGUUCCCAAGGCUAUGGAGAUCAUCUCUGUAAACAAGAUAAGGAGAUGGAAAGUGAGAGGUUUUGCUGCUUUGAAAAAAAAGGCAGCACAAGCGGGGCAUUGUGGGUCAGAGGAGAGACAGCCGCUGUCCCCACAUCUCUCUGUCCCUCCCUCCACCGCCUGCCACAGCUGUGCAUGAACAAGACCAGAGCCAGAGGACAACAUAUAUCAAUGUGGAGACUGUGGAGGGUUCAUCAGAGGUACCCCUGACUUCUGAAAGAAAUACACAGACACACAUAACACACAGGAUAUAGUAAUGGAUUUAUCAAUGACCAUUUCUAGGAGACAAAAGAGAAGUCGUUAAAGGUCUUUUUGUACCCGAACUUAGGCUAUUUAAGUAACUUGUGACAACUUCAAGCUCGCACUUUGAAGCCAACACCACUAACAAGUUGUUUUGAGACAUCAAGAUCAAAAUUAAACCACUUUAUUGACUAGAUUCGAUAAAAAUCGGUACAAAAGGUCAGAGUGCAUGGUAUCAUUAAAGCAAAGGGGGUCAUCCCAAAUACAGAGAAACUCUGAAAUUCAAUUCAACAAAAUGUUAUUGCUGAUUAUAAGAUUUGUUAUGGAAAUUAUGUAUUAAACUAGAAAAGUAUGCAAAAUCACUAAUAGUCUCAGAAUUUGGAUGUAUCUGAUAUCAGGUUCCUGGUUAUUGGCACUAUAGUACACUUUAGUAACAUCUAGUAACACCAUUGAAAAUAACUACAACUGCGAAAGAGCAGUGGGAUAAAACCAUGAUUACCCCAUAAGUCUAAGGAUUUCCCCUCUUUCCUGGUUGGAGACUACUGACAUGGAGACAUGUUAGCCUCUCCCCAGGCCUUUAAGAGCUCACACUGCACACAGCACCGCAGGAGCCCCCUCAUCGCUAAGCAUCUCUUCAGUACUGUCCAUAAUACUCAUUUGUCUUGACUUCCUCUCUCUCCACUUUCCUCUGGCUAGCUAACACUGAGGGGCUAACACACUCUCAGGCCAUUGAGUCUCGGCAAAUAUUUGCCCCCUGAUGUGGUAAGGAAAGUAGAAAGAAAAACAGGAGGAUGGUGUUUUAAGGACAUAUGGGAGACGGAUAGUUCAGCAUAUCAAAUGUUGCACUUUAUAGACCCAUACUUAGUACAAAUCUGAAUAGCUGACUUCUUUAUGGAUGUGUAUAAGUGCUUGAAUGAUGCUAGAACCUGGAGCCAAGUCUAUAAAGGCACAAUGGCAGAAAAUCAAAAGCUGCUUUAGAAUUAAAGAGAGAUGGAUAAUUCUUAAAUGGACAUUAAUAAUUAUUGAGGACUGUUGUUCAAGUAAAAGGCCUUGUGUAUCUGGGAAUCUGUUUUUAAUAAGAGAGGCUUUGUUUUAAAGCCAUUUAAUUUAAAACCAUUUAAUACACUGAUUUAUUAGAACGAUUCU